rnacentral:lncRNA from 1 species
AAAAAGGCAUUCUUGAAGCUUAGAAACUCAAGUUGUGUUGGAUGGAAGGCAGCAAUUGAGUGGGUUACACUAGAGUAUUAUUUUUUAUUUUUUAAAUUUUUUUAUUUUAAUACAACAAUUAAAAAUAUUUAUAAACGUAGUUAAAGUAUCAUAGUCUAUCAAUUUUAAAUCGUGAUAAAGAAAUGUUCACGGGACAAUUUCGACGGGGAUACCACUUCCCAUCUCCGUCCCCGCCACUCUAUCUCAUUCUCCAUCCUCACAAAUUUUUCCAUAAGGAACAGGACGAAAAUUCUCUCCGAAAUCAGGUUCUCUGCAAAAAAAAUAUUUCCCACUUAUUUUUUUUGCUUGCUUAAACACAAAACAUACAUAAACAUAUAUAUAUAAACGUAUACAUAUAUAAAUAUGUAUACACAUAUAUGUGUAUGUGUCUGUAUGUAUACAUAUUUUUUUUUCUUUCAGAGCGGGGCAAGGGAUUGGCGCGGGAACAAGGUUAGGGACUGUAUUCCUCGUCCCAUCAACGAAAGAAAAAUAAUCCCUAAUACCUCCUACACUCCCCAUGUGUUCGAAGAUUCUCCACCUCGUUUGGGUAGAGUCCACACGAACUCCAACCUUGCAGGUUAAAUGGACAUCUGUAUGAUAAACUACUUAAUAGUUAUCCUAUUGUUGUCUAUUGUAAUCAUAACUAUGAGUAAUAAAAAAGUAAAAUUUUACUAUAUUUGUAAAUAUUUAGUUCAUUCUUCUAUAUUUAAAAACAACUCUAGUUUUCUUAGUUUUAUAUUUUAACCCCUAACUAUAAUAUCAUUGAAGAGCCCCUCACUGAAUCCUGUGUACCCGAAAGUUGAUAGUAUUGGUUAUUUAUGUUUUUUUGUGUGUGGUUCAAAUUUAAAAGUAUUUCUUUUUUCUUUUUGGGAGGGUUUCUUUAGGUGUUGGGUUUAAUUUUAUUGGGUCUCAGGCUCUUUAAAGUUACAAACUUUUGCCCUCGACUUUAAUUAUAUUUGGUUCAUACAUUUCAUGUAUGUUUUAUUCUUGAAUUUAAAGUUAUGUUUUCUUUCAUUUAGUUUAUAAAUUUCAAAAUUUAUCCUUUGAACUUCAACUUUUUACCGUUAAAUAAUAAGAAUGAAAACUCACACUACCAAAUUUGAAUUAUUCAUCUUGGCUAUGCCAUUAAAUUUUUCUUUUAAUUUUUGAAAAAUUAAUUGAUAACUUUUUAUAUUUAUUAAUUGAAUUGUUACAAUCGAGCCGUCAAAGUCGAGUUUGGUAACAUUUCAUUGUUUGUUUUUUAAAAAAUCAAGCUUUUAUUUACAUGUUUUACAAUAAUUUGCAUAUUUUUUAAAUACAAUUGUGGAAUUCUUAGUCAAAUUGAAAAAAAAAAAAACUACUUUUUGAAGACUACAUUUUUAUUUUUUAAAAUUUGGCAUCGGUUUCUAAAACCAUUAAUAGAAUGCCAAUAACAAAGGAAGAAAGUUUGAAGGUGAAGUAGUGUUUAUAGGCUUGAUUUUUAAAAACAAAAUGGUCACCAAACAAGACCUAAAUCUUAUAAAAUUCAUUCUACAUACUUACACAUAGGAAUCAUUGUUAAUAAAAUAAAGAAAAAUCAAUGUACAUGAUUGUUGGAGUAACUUGAUGUCGAUCUUUAACUCACGUUGACCUUAAAGUCAUAGUAGCGUUAAACAUCAAAAUACAGCGGCAGUGAACAACAAACAACAACAAGCAGUAACAACAAACAUCAAGCAGCAGGUAACAACAAACAACAAAUAAACAGUAUUAAAACAACGACUACAAGAUAGAAACAAUAUGAACAUACGACUGAGUCGUGGAACACACUCUCUUUAAAACGUUUCGUGGCUCGAGAAUGUGCAAACAAAUAAUUGCCUCAUCAUCUCCAGGAUAAAACAUCCUCUAACCUAGUAACCCUCAAUUGAUCGUACACGGAAAUCAAUUGGCAAUUAACACGACACUAAGAAACAAACACGGUAUUGCUCAGAAACUACACGAUAUUGCUCAGAAACUAUUACAAAGAGUAUAUGAAAGAGAGAAAGAUUGAUUUUUUGUUCUAUUUUUUAAAAGUGAAAGUUGAGAUGUAUAUAUAGUAGUGGGUCUAUAAGAUUUUAGUUAAUCAAAUUAACGUUAAUAACGUUUAUGAUAUCUCUCCUUGCCUCACCACGCCUGACAAACAGCAACGCGUGUGUGAAGAUAUAAACAUAUCCACAAUUGUCUAUCUCCUUGCCUCACCAUAAUUUCCAAUUUCCUAUUGUCUAUCUUACCUAAAAAAUUUCUAGUUAGAUUUUUUUAACUCUUGAGCAUUUUCAAAUAUAGCAAAAUAAAAAUAUUUACAAUGGACUUUUGUAAAAGUAGUAAAAAAAAUUAUGAUACUAGAUCCCAUAUCACAAUAUUUUCGACAUUCGCAAAAGUAACAAAUUUAAAAGUGACGGUUCUCUAACAGUCAUAUGAUUACAGUCUUAUAGUCCUCUGAUAGUUUUAUGAUAGCUGUCUGACAUCACUAAUUUUUUCAUAUUCGCAAUAUACAAACAAUUGAUGUCAUGAGUUGUUUUUCUCUAAAUAUUUUUGUCAUUUAAUGCAAUUUCUCUAUUUGCUAACACAGAGGGAAUUCGUGCAAGGAGUUUAAGUUUUUUCAAUGUUUAGAAUUUUUAAUUUAUUUAUCAUUCUUAGUUUUAUGUUGAAAAAAACUAUACUCUCACAAAUUUUCCAUCCAUUUUACAGAUUGUUUUUCACAAUAUUUUUCAAUUCUUAGAAAAUUUUCACCUAAGAAUAUUUUUACAUCAUAUUUUUGAUUGGUUAUGAAAAAAUCAAAACGAAACAUUUUUUUUUGUUAGAACAACAACAAAGCUACCACAUAGGGGAUAAUUGAAAACUUGUGUUAGGUAAAAGUAGAAUUGAAAGCACUUCAAUGAGAGAUGCAAUAUGAUAUUUUCAUUAACUGAGGUUGAGAUCCACCACUUAAAAUCCUUCAAAAUAAGAAAGAUGUUAGAAGAAAAAAAUGAGGCUAGACUUUGAAAUAAAAGAGGAAAUUGAUGGUUUUAUAUUGCUUGAUUUGUGAUUGAUACAAUAUAAUGAGAAUUUGUAUAUGUUACGAGAAGAUAUAAUAUGGAAAAAUACAAUCCAAACAAUAUAUUUACAAUUAGAAGCAUAAUUAAUUUACAAUUGGUGAUUUAAUUUAGAAUAAUACUAGAAUAUUCUCUAAUAGUUUUGACUACUAUUUAGAUUAGAAUUAAAAUUUUUGCAAACACUUUUAAGUUAGAUAUACUUUAAUUUCUCUAUUCAUGCAAGUAAUUCAAAACUUUGAAAGGGUGUUUUUCACUCAAUUUCGUGUCAAUUGUAAUAAUCUUUCUAAUUAAGAUUUUCUUCCAUUUCCAACUUUAUUCUCAUCAAUUCUUCUCUAUCUUAUUAUUAAUUUUUUAUUUUAAAAAAUUGCAUGACAAAUAUAUAUAUAUAUAUAUAUAUCAUAUCAUAUGACUAUUUGCUUCUAAUUUGCUACUUUUGCCAUUUCGAAAAUAUAGUGACAUUGACCAUUUUACUAUUUUUGCAAAUGUGUUCCUAUUAUUUUUAUAAUUUCUUAGCUAAAGCAGAAGCGUGGGAGGAUUCUUUCGAUUUUUUUGAUGAGCAUAACCAAAUUAAAAAAACAUACACACACCAGACAAUUAAACAAAAACAAAAUAAAUGAAUUUCAUAUUAUAAGUCAUUGAAUAGUCUAAUUUUUCAACUAUUUAAUAUGACAAAAAGACAACAUUAAAACAAAAACAAAAUAACGAGACGACAUAGACUCAACAACGGCCAAGAUGAGAUUUCUUUAUAUAUCUUCUUUAAUUCAUGAACCAUGAACAAAAAGACGUCAUAUAUAUUAAACAUACAUAUCUAAGCUCAAUUGUUUUCAAAAGAUUUAGUGUAAAACGUUUUCUAUCUCCGUGAUGCACGAUUCUCGAACAAAUCAAAUCAACAUAUGAUCUCUCAAAUCACACUCACAAAUCCAACCAACCAACAAUUCAACUCAUUUAAUUUGAACAAGUCAUUUAUUAUUCAACAAACACAACUAACAAACUUGAAAGGUUGAAUACUUUUUGGGUUUCCGUAAUGAAAUAUAUGAUACGAUUUCUCAUUUGGGACAUCAAGUGGCGUUUAAAAUUCAUUUGAUUUAUUUUGUAUUUUUGCUAACAAAGAAUGGUAAUGAUAAGAAUAACUAAAGGGAUAGAUUAGUUGAUAAGUAAGCAAUAGGUGAAGAUGAUGAAUGUUUGAUACAUAAUGGAGAUACAUGCAAUUUGAAGUUUGAAAUAAAAUAAUGGACACAUGCAUGCAAGUCAUAAAAAAAAAUAUAUAUUUUGAGAGAAAGAGAAGAAAAUGAAAGGAUGUCUAUCUGAAAAGACACGUGGUGGCAUCGGGAUGACCCAAUUGGGGUUUGGAUUAUUGAGGUGAGUGGUAGUUGAAAGCUACGACUUACCGAGCAACCCUUCCACGUGCUUUGAACUUUCGCGCCUUCUUUUAAUUUCUUUUUUCUUUUCUUUUACAAAAUUAAACCAAUUUUCAAUUUCAUUAUUUAAUUUACUAUUAAUAUUAUUAUUAAUUGCAGCUUUUUGUUUUUAAUUAUUUUAUUUUUUUUGUCGUUUCCAUAUAUUAUUGAACAUUGCAAUACAAUUGGCUUUCCUCUUCCCUCUUCCCUCACCAAUCAUUCAUUCUCAUUAACUCACUUCUUCUUUUCUUCUAACUAUUCUCCCAAUCCAUUUUCCUUUUCAUAUUCUUCUCCCCAUCCUUCCUUCAUUUCCUCGGUUCAAUUUUUUUUAACUUUUAACGUAAAACCUUAGAUUGUUAAAAGUGACUAUCUUACUUAACACAUGCUAGUUAUCUAAAUAUAAAAGUCAUACAUCAUCACCAUUGCAUGAGAGAGUUAAUGCGGAAUCUAAAUCUAUCAUAAUUUUUCUUUUAUCAAUAAUUUUAAAUUUCAUAUAACUUCUAAAAGGCUCUCUAAUCUAAAAAUAUUAAUUACGAUGUAAGUAUCCCAAUAUGCUGUCAUCUCUAUGGGUGACAAGUCUUUAUUAAUUAAAUUAAAAGAAAGAGGGCUACAAAUCCACAUGAAAAAGGGAUAAAAAAAAUGUUGAAUCUUUCAUUGUCUAUGUGUCUCUAUUUGGUAUUUGGUAUUUGGUAUUUGGUUGCGCCAUUCAUUAUUAAUUAAGUCCUAAUCAUUUAAAUAUCAUUCUUAUGUUUACUUUGGUCUUCUUUCCUAAAACACUUGGUUUUCAUCAUCCAUUCAUUAUUAAUUAAGCCCACCUUAAUCGUUUACCAUUCAUCAUCCAUUAUUAAGAGAGACUAAGGAAUAAUACAGUGUUUGGUUUGAUAAUGAUUUUAUUUUUAAUUACUUUCUUUGCAACAUCUAUAUUUUUUUUAAAAAAAUCAUUACAAUUUCAUGUUUGUUAAAAAAAAAAUACAUUUUACGAAACGUUUACAUAAAUAACAAAAUAUAGUAACUUAUAGGUAGAAAUCAAUAUUCGCGAGCUUAAUUUCCACCAACCCUUUUAAGAAAUACGAAUAACUUUUAUGAUAGAAAAAAAACUAUUAUUUGAACGACAACACAAAUAUUAUAAAUUAAAUAUGAGAUUUUUGUUAUCAAUUACAAAGACUAUAUAUAUAUAUAUACUUUCAUUCUUUAUUUGUUCUACCGAAUGAUUUAGAUAGUACUAAAGUUCUUUGUUGAGCUUAUUUAUUGAAGUAACAUCAUUUGCCUAUUUUGCUUCUACCUUAAACGACAAUUAUUCAAGCAUUUAAUUUGAAUCACGACCAUAAAAAAAAUAAAACUCUUUCUAAAAGUAUAAAUGUUAGUUUUCAUAAAUAUAACAAGACACCAAAAUAUUUACGACCCGUGUAAUAAAAUAAAAAAGUUCAUGAAGUCGAUCAUUUUUUUAAAUAUGUCAGGCUUUUCCUUCAUUUCCAUCUCUUUCUACAAUUUUUCUUUUCAUUUUCAGGGUCUUUCUUUUCUUCUUCUAGAAUUAUUCUUUUAUAUUUUCUUGAAAUCAUAAUUUUUGUUUUCGAAUCAUAAAUAUUGUAUAUUUUUUUAGAAUGUUAUUUGGUUCAAGAUCGUGUACCAAAUAUAAAAGAACUUGAAAAAAACUCGUUGAAAUAUCAGUAUAUGAUCAUUUAGAUUUGGGUAGUCAAAUUUGAAAAAUUGUGUACCAAACAAUCUUGAAAAAAAAAUCUUUUAGCUAAAUCUAAACAUAACAUGUAAUCAAAUCUAAAUGAUCGUGUACUAAAUAAUCUUGAAAAAAUAAUCUUGAAAAAAAUCAUUUGGAUUUGAAAAUAUUAAAAAAAAAAUCUUUUAGAUUUGGAUAAUCUAAACGUGUACAAAGAAUCUUGAAAAAAAAUUGAUCGUCUAGCCAAAUUUAAGUGAUCAUAUACCAAAGAAUUGGAAAAAAUUGUUUAUAUUUGACUACCAAAAUCUAAACGAUCGCAUAGCAAAAUAUUGUAGUUAAAUCUAAACAAUUGUGUACCAAAUAUAAUCACGUGUUGACGGAAACAUAUUUUGUAUUUUUUAUUGUGUUUGUUGAUUUUUUUUCAUUUUCGAAAUUGUUGUAUGGGUAAAUAUAUAUAUAUUUAUUUUUGUUUGAAAGAACCCUUUUGUCAAACUUGAAUUAAUUUCUUUCAUUAUGUUUUCGUACUUCUUUAACUUACUCCUGCAAAAAUAAAAAAUAAAAAAAUAAAACAGUUGUGAAAUGGAAUAUAAAGGAGAGGUUAAAUGUGAGAGAGUUCCUUCAUUUCACUCUAUAUUUAUAUACUUUUGAGAGCAUGCAAUGUCAAGAACAAAUGGUAAUAAAUAGUGCGACGACAAACCAAAUAAUCUUUUCUUUUUGGGAAAUUUUGAAGCACAUGGGGAAGGGAAAAUGGGCAGUGGAUGAUUGAUAUUUAUUAAAAUGGUGGGGGGCAAUACCAAAGGACCCCAAAAGGUUUUUGAUAUUAGGUCACUUUCUCCAAUUUAAUACUCUGAGUUACAUCGUGGGUUUGUUCACAUUAUGUCUGCUGGUUCUAAACCACACUUCAUUUUCUUUUAUCAUUACCUAAUUUCCUCUUAAUUAAACAAACAACUAAAAUCCAUUAAACCUCUAUGCACUUUAAUUCAUAUCAUAAAAACAAUCAUAAAAUAUGCCCUGCAUUAAUUUCAUUUAAAUACCACUUUAGUAUCUCUACUUUUGAUUUUCCUUUAUUUUUGUUUUUCAUCAUUGAGAUGUGAGAUGUGGGAUGUGGGAUGUGGGAUGUGGGGGAGAAAUUACAAAUAAGAAAUAAAUAUGAAGUUAAUAUCAUGUUAACCAUUAGGUUGAAGGACAAGCAUUUUGCUUUUUUUAAUUAAGAAGAUUCAACCUAUUUGCAGUGUGUAUUGUAUCUUUUGCCAUCGAUCAUCAGUGUAGCAGAUAUCUCUUACAUGUCUUCUCCAAAAUACAACGCAACCCAGCAGAUAGUCUGAUUUGCUGUUCCAGUAAAUUCUGUGGCUUCCAACGCUUUCAAUUUUUCAAUUCCAUACUUCUUUUCAGGUUCUCUUGAUAAACGUCAUCAAUCCAACCUCUGUGCUACUCUAUCAUACAACGUCUCUUCUUGUUCCCUCCUUAUAUUUGGAUUGACAAAAUGAGCUUCUAAAUCCAUUGUGAGCUCAGUAGUAGUCAUUGGAUCUAUUUCUAGCUUUUGGUGGCAUAAUGCCUGCUACUUCCUACAAGAACAACUUAAAUUUUUAGCUCAACUUUUACCAAACAUACUUACAUUUGUUCCAUUUUCAAGGAAUGUAUUACUCUGAUACCAAGUUGUUACGCCCCGUAUGCAUCCUAAACCUCUCAAUGCAACAUGCGACGUGACUUAAGUAGCCCUAAUGUCUCUAAUGCGAAACGCCAGAACGCUAAACUUAAGUUCUUGAACUUAGCUUGAUCACCGAAUUCAACUUAACUUCCUUUGCUAUUAAGCAAUAAAAAUAAACACAACACAUCAUAAAUAUAACAAACGACUCUUUUAUUAACUUAAUAAUACAAGCUCUAAAACACAAUAUACAUGUUUUCUCUUUAUAAUAACUUAAAAUAAACUUAGGGCCUUCAACGCCUAGCUCAACCUUUCGAGUUUAAAAUUAGAUGGCCUGACUAACGCCUCAUAACGCCUCAUUCCGCACCAAUUCGUCCAACCCUUCAUAACUUGACCUUAACACCUUGUCACAUGGGGAAGGAAAACUUAACACGUAAGACAAAUACUUAGUGAGUGAUAUUUUGAAAUCUUUUGGGAAAAAACAAUACAUUCAAUAAACACAGUUCGUAAAAUAGGCUCUCACGCCUCAUUUGAGAAACAAAAACUACACAUUAGUCUUUCCUUUUUCUCAUACCAAGAACAUGAACCUCUCUCACUCAUUAGCGUCUCUUGAGAAUCUCACGGUUCAUUUCUUGUUGCUUAAGCUGCUAACACAACCACAUUGGCUAGCUUUUUAUCGCCAUGCGUCUCUUUCUACAUGAUAACCUUGACUCAUUAUGUGAACAUAACAGUUAGGUUACUGAUAGGAACAAGACUAAUGGUUUACACACAUACAUAAUCAUAUAAUUGUCACAUAAGUUUUAACAUUAGAACCUUUUCUUAUAAAAAUUCAAGCUUUCUCAAAAACAUCAAUAAUUUGUACAUGCUUGACACUUUCGCAUAACAAUACAAAAGAGAAAAGAAAGCUUUGAAACACGAUUUAACUUUGAAAAUUCACUCACAAACUCUAAGUUUAAGUUCCCUUUCUUUAGAACGCCUAACACCUUUCUCACAUAGUACUUCUUCUUUUAGCAAAGUAACUUUAGUAAUUUCAGCAUAACCUCUUUCCUACCGACACUUCAACUGUGAGGCCCUGAACGCAUACCACCAACGCGAUAAAGGCCCUAUGGUAGGGAUGUUGCAUGUAUAGAGAUAUUUUUGACAAUAGAACGUGUUUUACGAAAGGAUUAUGCGAUGAAAGGUCACUGCGCGAAGAGAGUACAUGACAAACAAUUGGGCAAGUUGGGGAUACUUCACCUAGGAAGAGUGAUGUGACCUUGAUGUUCAGUAGGUCAAUGAUUGAUUGGACCCCACCGCCCAAUCCAAAUUUAGGAUAAGGUUUCGGCAGAGACGCAUGCGCUUCGAGGUUGAACCACUUCCCACCUUUGGCAAGGGUAAAUAUUCUGGCAUGGAAAACUCACAGGAGAAGCCUAUAAAUGGAGGAAUUUCAUAUCAGUUUAAAGUUGCUUUUACCCUGAUCAGCUCACUUAAGAUAGAAUUAAAAAUAUUUUUGAACUCAAUAAGAAUUUCAGGAAAGUGCAAAGAAAACUCUUGGCUUAGGAAGUUAGGCGAAGGAGCUAGUCGACUGUGUCGGUAAGUGGUUCUCUUAUAAUUUUUUUCAAAUUAGAAAGAAUUUCUAAAAUGUGUUUGAAUUCUGGAAUGUAUUUCUAUUAAAACCAUGGAUUAUAUGAUUUCCAUUAUGUUUUCAAAUUCUUAAACGGCAUGAUUUACAAAAAAAUAGAAUUAAUUAUACACUGGAAUGAUGUGAUGAAACAAUGUGGUCUGGAGAAUGAAUGAUAACUAAUAAUGUUGAAAUGAAAUAAUCUUUGUACCCUAUGCAAUAUAAUACCUCAUGCUUAUUGUGUGUUUUGGUGUGAGAUGCUUUAUUCUUGAUCUCUGAUCUGGAAUAAAAUAUCUUAUUUAUGUUGUUUGAUCUUGAAUAGGAUGCCUCAUGCUUGCUGUGUGAUAUGGAAUGAGAUGUAUUUUGCUUGCUAUGUGAUCUAGCAUUGAAAGACACAUUAUUCGUAGUGGAGUUGAUGUAUAACUUGCUAAAAUGCGUCAAGUUUACUUCACAUAGCUGCAACUUGACAAAAGAUCAAUGUGCUCAAAGCUUGGGCUAAGGAAAAUGGUACAAAGACAUAAUUGAACAUCCAUAGUAACUCUACUAAAUAAUUACGCGAUAUGCAAGAAGCAUAUGACGCGAUAGAAUUUACGGUGAAAGAAUUGAAAACACGUGAUUUUUCCAUAUGAUUUGUGAUGAAUGAUAAAAUGAGUGAUUCUCCCUUGAUAUUUAUGAAUUGUCAAUAAAAUGGAAAUGUUUAACGGCCUAGAAUGAGUAUUUUAAACUAAAAAAAUGUAAUGAUUGACUCACGUGUUAUUUAUAUUGCGUAUUUUGGCAAAAUGUCUAUUGUGUUAAGGUGAACUUGAUUUCUUAAAGGUGUUCAUAAAAGAUCUUACUUAUUAGACGUUUUAAUCUAACAUUUCAAAUAUUUUGUUUUAUUCCCUCACCCCCCACCCCAAGUAGCGAGGGGCAUCUAGUGUUAAACUUGCAGCUUUGAUCACCUAUUGUGCCUCCUUGAUCGUAUCGUUUUGGUAGUGACCACUGUCUAGUCGCAUUACAUAUAGUAACUAGGCGAGGAAUGUCCAAGUAUUGUUUUGAGUCACGUUUAAUGGUUUGUACUAAAUGUUAUAACAAUACUAAAAUUACUUUAACCGAAAUAUCAAUAAAGUCUAAAUUUCGUAUUAAAUUUCUUUGUGACUACCUUUUAAUUCCACUUACUAGGCGUUUGAUCCAUUACUUUGUAGAGAAUAUCCAAUAGGAUGUUUAAGUGGUCGCGUCUCCAUAUUCCAUCACACAGAGUCAAUUGGAGCAGGGUGUGAGAUCAACCCUAUUUAUACUAAUUUCAAAUUAGAUUAGUUACUCUUAAGCUCUUAUUAACUUGUCAGCUUUUGCUUAAAGUGCUACACAUGUAAGCUUAUUAGUUUCCUCCGACCAUGCUUAACUUAAACCUUACACAUAGCCCACCUGUUAAGUUCUAUUAUGAUUUUUUCUAAAAAUGUCUUGUCUUUCAACAUCUGAACUCUUCUCGUCUUGCAUCAAAACAUCUUUCUUCUUCCCCGCUUUGCCUAACUUCAAAGCAAGCUAAAACUCAAAACGCCUACCACAAAACAUCCUUCCCAAAACGCCUAAUUCAAAAUUCCUUCUAAACAAACUCUUAUUUUAUUUGAUCCUUCUAUUCCAAACACGGGUCUCACAGCUUCCCUCUUCACGUCGCACACAUAUACACCAUAGCCUAAGGUUAAUGUUUUAAAAAAUGUGACCAAAGUCUUACAUUGGUUAGAUAAGGAAUGACCGUGAAUAUAUAAGUGAUCGAUAUCAACUAUCUCCAUUGGUAUGAGGCCUUUUGGGGUAGUAUCAAAAUCAAAGCCAUGAAAGUAUAUACCCUAAGUGGAUAAUAUACCAUACCAUUGUGGAGAUGUUUGGAGGGUUUGUUGUCCUAACAGACGUCACUACUCAACACCUACCACAUGCCUAACAAACGUCACUACUCAACAAGCCACAUGCAAUGGCUCUGAGUAUUCCAUUUAAUCAUGUCAUCACAAAGAAUGUUAAGAUAACACCGACACUCAACUCAAUCAUACGGUUUUCACUAUAAAGUUUCGGUGCAUAUUUGAAAAUUUUAACAUAUAGAAUUUAUAUACAAUGGAAAUUGUUGCUACCAAAAAUCCCACAAACAGUAAAUUUUAUUAUGAGGUUGGAUCGUCCAAGUAACUGCAAGACAAAAGAGAUUAAACACGAAUGAGUUAUCGAGCCACACACAAUUCGAUGCUCAAGUCAGUAUCGGGCUUGUGAGUGAUUAAAGAAUAAGAAAUUGUUGGAUACUUUUUUACAUACCUUCGACAAAUGAUCUUGGUCAUUUAUAUAGGGCACCAAAAUGUAACGGCCAUUUGGACUCAUAACUAUCCCUCUUAAAUGUUUGGAAUGGUGGAGCUAACGCUUGUGGGGCGUUACACCAUUCAUUUAGGUGCUUUAGUGUGAACCACCCAUUCAAAUAUUAUUAAAUGUCUCAUCUUUAUGGCAUUUUUAUUUCUAUAAUGUGACCUACAAGCUUCUCAGCUUAACCUUUGAGCUUUCUCCUACAACUUGACUCUUAAGCUCCUCAGCUAAUGAACUCCUUAGCUAUCUUUAUACAGCGGCCUUUAAGCUUCUCAACUAUUCUCUAUAGAUUGACUUCUUAGCUCCUCAACUGUACGUCCUUCGAGCUCACCAACUAUAGCUCAACCUAUAAACCCCCUCAAUCUUCUCUAUAGGUCGGCCUUUUAAGCUCUCUUUGUUUCCUCUAAGCUAAUCUCCCUUAAACUUCUUUGAGUUUCAGUUCCACAACUUGACUCUAAGUUAUCUUUUGGACUCACCUUAUGAGUUAGUGAGCUAGCUUUAAGCUCGUUUAGGUUUUUCCAUGGUUCUCUUGAGUAGGCUAAAAUUCACCCACAACAUAAAUUUUUUAAUUAAACGUUAUGGCUACAUAUUUUAAUUGGAAAAAAACUUGAAUUUUAACCUAAACUAAUUAAGUUGUAUCAAUUUCAGUUAUAAAUUUUCAAUUUCAUUGAACUAGAUAGUAACCUUAAACAAAGGUUGCAAUUUUGGCCUUGAGUCAAUUUCUAUUGAUUUGCACCCUAAUUUAAGUUGUAUAGACACUGUUUAAAAGAAUCUUCAUAAACUUAUUGAUUUCAAUAAAAUAAAAAUUUGUACCAUAUAAUACAUUUGACCAGUCCACACAAAUGAUUGAACUUGGUGUCAAAAUUCAUAAAUUGCAACUGAAAAAAGGUCUAAUGCAAUUUUCAUGUAAAUCAUUAUAUUGAAAUGGAUAAGAGAAAAUUUUGCUUAAUAAUUUUUGGAGGGAAUUUUUUAAAAUGAUUGAAGUUGCUAACACUUUUUGUUUUGAAGUUUAAGGUUAAGAUUUCAAUCACUUAUCUAAACAUUAACUGAAAUUUAAUUAAACUUAAGUUCCAAUCCCUCCUAAAUUUAUGAAAAAAAAUAUUUUUUUUUCUUUUAAAAAAAUUUAUGAACUAAAGUAGUCAUAUCUAUCUAUUAGUGAUCAAGACGUAUGUGAUUCAAAUUUCUUCCUCCAGUGCACUAAUAAAAAAAAUUAUUAACUAAAGAUGUGCUAAAUAAAAAUGAAUCAAUCAAAAUACACUUUUCAAAAUAGAUAUUAUAAAAUUAUAGGCUAAAAUGAACCGACAUAAGUCAAACACACGAUGAUGAAAUAACUAUUCAUUUCAAAUUCCAAGGCAAAAUUAAACCAAAUUUGAAAAUUCAACAACAAUGAAAUUGUUUUGGCGCCUAAUUUGAAGUUCAUGGGGUGCAACUAUCACUCACUCCAUGCACAUUUAAAGUUCUAAAUAUAAUAGUUGUAUUUACAACUAUGUACUGUAAUAUACUAUUUGAAAUGUCUACUUGUUUUUUCUUUUUGAUAACAAAUGUUUCUUUUUUAUAUACAUAUAGUGUUUACUAAUUCCUAAUUAAACUAAAAUAGUAUAAAUGAUUGUAACAAAUCUAAAACCCUAUGCACUUCCAUAGACUAUAACAAGCAAUUGAAUACCAUGUACGAGUUUGGUGUAUAAAAUUUGAAACCAAUAAAAUUGAAGAACAUAAUAUUAUAUGGUUGGGGAUUGAUUAAAAUAUAAAAUAGGAUUGAGCAUGUGAUGAGGCAUUCAUGGAUGUCGGCAUGCAUGUGGGGGCCGUAUCAUGUCAAUGUCACACGUACUUAAUAAUAAGGAAAAAAGAAAACACACACACAUAUAUAUAUAACAAAAGUUGAAUAUUAAAAUAUGAAUUAGUAAUGACCCACCCACUGCUAUGCUCUUUGAUCUUCUGUUCUCUAAUAUUUAAUGUCAUGGUCACUUCUCUUCCAUUGUUUUAGGUCACUUUUACUUUUGGUUUCUCCCUUGGGAAUUGGGGCAGAGGGCCCCAACCUAUGUGCUUUCCCUUCCAUGCACUUAAAAAAUGAAACCACACGCCCUUAAAUCCUAUUCAAACCUUCAAUAUUUAAUGUAUGAGAAACAUUACUUUUAACUUCAAUUAAAUUUCACUAAAUUGGAAUUAAAAUUGAUGUAACAACUAGUGUGUAAAGAUUAAAAGACGUGGAUAAAAACGUUUAGGAUUGAAUCUUACUUAUAUAUGAUAUUCGCAUUGUUGUUAUAAUGUUCAUUUUAACUCAAUAGGUAUCGUCAAUAUCAUUAUUUACUGAUCAAUUUUGUAUAUAUUCAAUUAAACGCUGUCAUGUUAGAUUUGAGAAGAGGUUGAUUAAUAAACCAUGACCCGUUCUAAAUAAAAGGAAUAUACGAAUCUGACUGAUAUAUGGUUAAGAAAAGUACAACUUAAAAUAGAGGAACACAAUGGGUGAAGUGACAAAGAUGGAGUGAGCGACGAUGGCAAUAAGGGAGAGGCGGGGCAAAAAUGGGGGUUGUGUUGUGUGUGAGUGAAUAUGGAGCGAUGGUGAAAUUAUGAAGAAGAUGGAAAGUGAAAAAUUAGAGUGAGGUGAGGGAUAUAUACAAGAUCUGAAAGUUAUCGAUUUGUGAAAGUUUUGAAGGGAAACUCUUGACAUCGUACGAAGGGUGUCAAUAGAUCUCUCCUAACUCCUAACCUAUCAUUAUCUCAUUGAGGGUUAUUUGGCCUAACUCUCGGCGUCCUUCUUAACAGCGUCAGGAGUUGCUGAUCUUUAAUUAAAUCGUUUUUUCUGACCCACUUCUGAUGUAAGUAUACGACGUCGGGCAUUUGUGAAUUACUCCCAAUGUGUGCUUGUGCCCGUUGAAUGAUUGCUUUUCUUUCGACCAACUCUCUUUUGAUGGUCAUUUUAUGUAUUUGAAAACGACUUUUUUCUUGUAGUGUAUCUUUUCAAUGACUCAAUCAAAAGUUGUAAGUAUGUUUAGUAAGGAACAAUUCUUUCGAGUGUGGAUAACACAUACUACAAUAACUUGUUUGGAUAUAGGUUUUGCCCUUAAAGCUCUUCAAAACAAGUAAGGAUAUACUGGUGUCAAAUCAGGUUGGAUACAAAGAAAUAUUGGGGUUAUUAGAUUCCUAAUCUUAGGCUUGGGGCAUUAUAAUAUUUUAAUGAAAAAAUUCUAACAAAAAUUUUAUAAUGUAUUUCCUUGUAAUAGGAGAGUAAUUAUAUUGUGAACACCUUGAAUGCAUAUGGCCGCAUGGCAAUUUUGCGAGAGCUAGACAAGAGGGUCUAAGGAAGAAAGGAAAGAAAAAUUGUAAAAUAUUGGUCUAAGUAAUAAAGAUAUUGUUUUGUUUUUCUGCUAAAGUGUAUUGUGUUUUCUACUUGGUGGUUAAAGAACUUAAGUAAAGCUAAGCUAAGUAUGUUAAGAUGCUUGUUUUUUCACUGUGUUGUGUUGAGAAGGUCUCUUGAGUUCAAAGCUUGAGCUAUGUGUUGAGACUGGUUUAAGAAGUUGUUUCACUUACUAGUCGUUCAACGUUUAUCACGUAGUGUGAUAUACAGUGAGUGUCUAGGCAGCAUGCCUCCAUUUGGUCGCAUAAAGUGACUUUUGAGGGUGACCUUGGUCAUAUGUUGCUUUCUAUGUCAAUAAUGUCGCUUAGAGUUCCAAGGUAGUAAUCAAUUAUAAACCUUUAAAUGAAGUUUUGGAAUGGAUUAGAUAUCAAAUUCCUAAUAAACAAGAUUUUCUAAAAAGAAUUGCAAAUGCAAAAGUAUUUUCAAAAUUUGAUGUCAAAUCUGGAUUUUUGCAAAUUCAAAUAUCUAAAAACGUUAAAUACAAAACUGCUAUCAAUGUUCCAUUUGGACAAUAGGAAUGAAAUGUAAUGUCACUUGGGCUAAAAAAUGCCCAUUGGAAUUUUAAAAAAUCAUGAAUGAUAUUUUCAAUGAAUUUCAAGAUUUUACAAUUGUUUAUAUUGUCGAUGUUUUGGUCUUUUCUCCAAGUAUAGAAAAACAUUUUAAACAUGUCAAUAUUUUUGUGAACAUCAUCAAAAGAAAUGGUUUUGUAGUUUCUCUUCCGAAAAUUAAAAUAUUUGAAACCAAAAUUAGAUUUUUGGGUUUUCAAAUUCACCUAAGAAUGAUCAAGCUCAUUCAAAGAUUAAGUGAGUUUGCUUCAAAUUUUUCAAAUAAAACUCAACUUCAAAGAUUUUUGGUCUAUUUAAAUUAUGUCUCUCAUUUUAUCUUGAAUCUUAAACCCAUUUGCAAACCACUCUACCAAAGGCUAAAGAAAAUUUCAAAACCAUAGUUUGACACACAUACCCAAAUUGUUAAAAAAACUAAGGUUUCAGUCAAAUCAAUUUAUUGUCUAAGUCUUAUCAAUGCAAAAGCAAAUGUUAUUGUUGUGACUAAGACCCCUAAUUUAGGUUAUGGAGGAAUUCUCAGAUAAUGUGUAGAUAAGUUCAAAUCAAUAAUCUGAUUUCACUCAAGAAUUUGGAAUGAUAUCUAAAAAAAUUACUUAAUAGUAAAAAAUGAGUUACUUACGAUAGUCCUUUGUGUUAAAAAAUUUGAAGGAGAACUAAUCAAUAAAAAAAUUGUGAUCAAAACCUAUUUAAGAGCUUCGCAAUUUGUAUUAAAAAAAAGUGAAAAAAAUCUUAUUUCAAAACAAAGUUUCCCCAAUGGCAAGCCCAUACUGCCUUGCUUUGACUUUGAAGUUUUGCCUUAAAUGGAGAACAAAAACCCCUAGCUUACUAUUUCUAACUCCAAAGCUCUCUCUCCUCCCAAAAUCUCUUGAAGAAAAAUGAGUAUCCAUAAAGGACGUGGCAGAGGAAAAUUAAUCUCUACCUCUUCAAAGGGCAACAACCUCUCUUCUUUUUCAAACUUUGCACCCUCGUCUAUGAGUGCAAAUCAAAUAUACAAUGUGUUUAGAUUUUACCAUGGUAACUCGAUCAAGAUUAGGAUAAUUUGACAUACAGAUUGAAUCUCCAAUAGAGUUUUCUACUCCACCUAGGCCUUGGGUCAAUCUUGUCUGUCCGUCCUUUUAGUGGAAUUGCUCAGACAAGUCCUCUCAUCUCUCCUUCUUCAAAUAGGGAGUCAUCUAACCUCCUUCAUCUGCAUAUUCUCAAGUCAUCACUCCUAAAAAACAAUUUUUGUCAUGUUCGAGAUCAAAACAUAUUUUCAAAAACCAAUCAUGAUCGAUGAUUCUAUCAAAGAAUCGAAAUAUCAAAGUUUCACCUUCGAUAAGACAUUUUAAUAAAUGUUUCCUAAGGGCUUCAAUUUUCUUCUAGAAGACCUCAUAAAAACCAGAAAAUUUUAGAGUUUUUCCUAGUAGACACCAAAUCUAUAAAAAUAACUCAUGCUCGAGAAAAGUGGUUGGUUAUACAAAAUUAAAAAAUUUCAAAUAAAAAAAUCCAACUGAUUGGAAUUAAGUUCAAAACCUUUUGCUCAUUAAUUCUGAUUACAUAACAUGAUCUUAUCUUUUUUCUCACAAUCUUAUUAGGUAAGAAGGUAUUGUCCUACUUGAUUCGAUCUUAUAUGUUCAUUUUAUCAUUUCCAUUUAUGUUUGAAAUCUGGGGUCUAUAAAAGAAUUCCAAGUUGUAAUGUGAAAAGCACAUCGCGAGAUAUUGUCAAGCUUCCUUGUAAAAUUUCAAUCCUAGUUCUCUUUAAAAUUUUAAAUAUAACAAAUAUCGAAGUCAUCUGCAAGAGACAAAAGCGAUACAAGAAUGAUACAAUAAUUUUUAUUAGUUCAUAUAAAAUUAAAACAGUAAACUAUAUUUAUGUCUAUUAUGACAUAAGUAGAUAUAAAUAGCCGUCUAUCACAUAUAGACAAUAAAAUUUUAAUAUAUUUAUAAAUAGUGUAUGAUUUAUUUUCCUAUAAAUCAAAACAACUCUAAAAUAAAACAUAAACAGAUAGAAAAAACAUUUUUGUAUUUAGAUUUUGAGUUUAAUUUUCAUUUGAUGAUUUCAAAAUUUUGCAUACUUGUACUUAAUUUUAAAUUUGAUUUAAAUUUAGUUUCUAUAUUUCAAAAUGCUACGUUUUACUUUUUUUUUUUUUUUUUUUUUUUAUUUCAUUUAGGUCCCUGAUUAGACUUCAAGAUGUUGAUAUUUUUAACCUUCAAUUUUUUUCCACUAAAUACUCAUUUUAAAUCUUUAUUGUUAGUAUAUAUUAAUUAAUUUAAAAAAAUUAUAAAAAAAGACAGAGAAAUUAUAUUUAAAAUGACUGAAUGACCAAAAAAAGAAAUAUCUCAAACAUUCAACGUAGAAUAGAAACUUUUGUCAUUUUUCUAUUUCUAUAUUUUUUUAUAGAAAUCUUUUAAAAAAAUAUAACAAAACGAAAAAAUAUUUACACGACGUAGAAUAAUUUCGAAAACGAAAAAAACUUAAUAACUCACAAUGAAAAAUACCAAAAAUAUCUCGUGAUUAAGAAACGAUAGUUUGGAUUUGAAUAUUCUUUUUUAUACUAUUGUUUAGAUUUGAUCGUUCUAAAUAUAAUAUAAGAGAAACGAUAGUUUAGAUUUGACCAUUCUUUCAUAUACGAUUGUUUAGAUUUGAUCGUUCCAAAUAUAAACGAUUGUGUACCAAAAAAGUUGGAAAAAAUAUCGUUUAGGUUUGGAACACGAUCAAAUCUAAACACGAUUUUUUAAAGAUUCUUUGGUACACUAUGGUUGGUUUGACAUUGCGAAAUUUAAAAAAGAAAACGAGUUAAAAACUAGGUCGAAAGUGGUACAAAGGAUCAAGAGCAUUUAAGAAGAUGGAUGCUACUAAGCAUUUAUCUUCAUAAAUGAAAAGAGAUGGUAUGAAGCAUUAUCUCUAUCUAAGGAAAUAGAUGCUGAUCUAAAGGAAUGGUUGAACAGCCAAGAGGAGUAGGUUCUAACACCAAGACAUGAUGAAUUAAUUACAAUAUAUUCGCCCAACUUAAAAUAAGGUGGGGAGACCAAACUUCAAGAAUCUCUCAAUCCUUUUCAUUACUCUAACUAUCCAUACGUCUUUCUUUAAACACUAAAACUAGUGCUAUAUUAUUCCCAAAUAGAUAAAAGGUAUUUUAGCUUCAUAUCAAUAACUAUAACUAUUCAUUGUUCCCUCUCCACUAUAUAUUCUUUCCUUUUCUUUAUUCACUUACGUGUUGAGCAGAUUUUAGCUCAACAUACUUUUGGAAAUAAAAAAGAAAGAGAUAAAUUAGUGCACCCUUUAGUCAAUAAAAGGUUGCCUAAUAAUUAAGCUGUAGUUGCAUGUGCAUAUUGUCAAAAGGUUGCCACACAAUGCUUAUAUGUUAUUCUAUUAACAUUUAUUCUAUAUUAAUUCAAUACACACACAUACACAUAUAUAUGCCUAUACACUCAUCUUGUUACAAAAACAAAUGGUUCUUAUAACUUUUGUAACAUUCUAGGCACGUGGAUUUGACAUUUUAGACUUGGACCAUUGUAUAUGAUAUUAAACUAGAACCUCUCGUAAUGCUACAAAAAAUUGGAUAAGCUAAGAUAGAAGCUAGUGAACAUGUAAUGGAUUGAAUACCACGUUCUAAUGACGAUAAAAUAUGUUGUUUAGUUAGUGUGAUUUCAAUUGGAAUAAUCACGUUAGAGAGGUUGUGAUGGUUUGUAGCACAAUAAUUAAUUAAUUCAAGACAAGUAAAGCAAUAGGAUGCAAAGAAAAGUAAAACCCUUUGAUCUCUUUCUAUUCAUGUAUAGUUGUAGGAUUGUGUCUCACUAUUACAAAAAGUAUAUCUACUUUUUUUUCUUUCUUUUGAAAUGGUAUAAUAAAAUAUGAAAAGAUUAGAAUAUAUGUAACAUAUAUACAUAUUUGAAAAGAAGACUAGAAAUAGAACAAAAGAAGAUGAUAACAAUAAAACCUUUGUCUUUCUAAAGCCCAAAUAGUAAAAAAAAAAAAAUGUAUUGGUUGAUAGAAAAUGUUUAUUUUGGUUUACAAAACUAAAAUAAUGAUUCACACUAUUUCUUGGAAACUUCAUAAAGAAAAGUAUGAUAUGAUGAUCCCAAAUCAACCACCACUACUAAAGAAUCAAGGAAGCAAAUAAAUAAACAAAUAAAUAAAUGCUUUUUCUAAUUUCUUCUAAUUUCAUUUAAUGGAGCAUGGGGCCUCACAUUGGCCCCUCCUUUCUUUUUCUCAUUAAAUUAAAAAAAAUAUGAAUAGAGAGAGUGAUAAAACACAAAUCACAUUAUUGUAUCAAAUUUCAUUUUCAAUAAUUCAUGAUCUUUUUCCCCUUUACAAGGAGAUGGGUAGACCACAAAGUAAACUUGUCCCAUUCUACCUCUGCUUAUUAGUUUGUUUGUAAAUGAGUUUACAUAAUUCCAUCAAUUUUCAAGUGUAGGUGGUUUUCAUAAUAAUAACAACAACUUUUUAUUAUUAUGAUUACUACUACAUUCUUUUUAUCGAAUUUCUUAUUUUGUAGGUAAGUGUUUCAAUAUUUAGCCAAACAAAACUAAAAUUUUGAAAACUGCGUUAGGUUUCUGCGUUCUCACAUGUUCGAUAUUGAGAUAUUGGUGGAUUGUCAAUUGUAAAAAAUCUAUAAAAAAUAAAAAAUAAAAUCAAAAUGGCCCUAUUAUAAAUAAUAGACAUGUUUACUUAUAUUUAUUUAUAUAUUUUAUAUAUUGAUUUAUCAUUCAAAGAAUAUAAUUGACAUUUUAGGAACAACAAAGUUAAGAAAAGUUUAUAGAAAUGGAGAGUUAUAAGUAAAAAACGAAGUGGGUUUAGGAAAGGAGGCGGGCAAGGGAACGACUUGAAGGAGGUGGAGGAAGAUGGUUGCCAAAUGCUUAAGGAGGUAGGUUUAGGUAGAUAAAUUUACUAUCAAUUAAAUGCACUUACCGUAUCCAAAUUUGAACAUCAACAAUGUGCACUAUUUAUCAAAUUUUAGUAGAUUUAUCUAUAAUAUUAAAAAUGGAUUAACUCUUUAUAUGGAGGGAAAGAGAAUGAUGGGUUUGGUGUGUGGUGGAAUAUAAAAUGGGCGCCGUUGCUAUGCCAUUGGCCCCGCGGAAAUCUCUCUCUUCUUUCCCCCUUUGCUUUCCAUUUACCCAAUUUCUUCCUUUCCUUACUUCUUCUUCUUCUUCUUCUUCUUUCUUCUUCUUCUUUCUUCUUCUUCUCUUUCUUCUUCACGUACCCACAUUGAAUCCUUCACAUUCAAUUCAAACCCCCAUUCAAUGCUCUCUCUAUUUCACAAACCUCCAUUCGCCUGCAUUUCUCUCUGUUCUUUCAUCUUUCAAUGACCCCAUUUCCCUGAACGCCGCUUUAUUCCUCUGCCUUUCCUUUCAUCCAAUUCUCCACGAUUUCUCAACACCCAUCUCUUUGAUUUUCUUUUUUUUUACUCUAAUUAUGUCUGCGGUUUUAGCAAGAACAGGGCGACAUCGUCAGCGAUACGACGAUCAUUUUCGUCUUGUUUCUGGGUAUUAUUCUUCUCUAUUCUUUUGCUGUUUCGUCGCCUUCUUCUUUGUCUUCUUCCUCUUUUGUUUCUACUUGACUUCUCUACUCUCUCUUCUUCCUUUUUCCCUUCUCAAUCUUUAAUCAUUAUCAAUAGUCUCACCUAUUUCAAAUUCGCCAUUUCAAGUGGUUUCGUUUUGUGCUUCUCGAGUUUCUGCGCUAUCUCAAAUUGAAAUUAUUGUAUCUUUCUGGUACAGGGAUCAAUAUAUUAUUUACAUUUACUUAUUUUAUUGUAUAUUUUCAUGGCGGGCCUUCUUAUUGACUUCGGUUACAUGAACAGCAAAAUGGGUUUCACUAUCUCUUUUGUCUUUUUUGUGGAAAUCGUUAACCACUGCACGCAUAUGACAUAUUAGAGUUAUCAACGACACCCACUCUAAUAACCUUUCGUUUGUGGGUAAGGACGAAUUGUAGUGGGUGUUUCAGAUAUUGGAAAAAAAUAUUCUGUUGUUUUCAGUAUGGAUUUUUUACUAAAACUGAUUGUGGGCUGUGAUUUGACGUUUCAUUUUAUGCUCCAAAAGUCUAAGGGGGUGAUAAACUGAUUGGGUAUCUUUCAUUUUAAUUGCUUAUAAUCUGACCCACGUUACGAACAUUCUGCUAUGUUUGCAUUGGAAUCGAAUUCGGAAGGUGGGAAAUGAGAAAUUUAGGAAUUGGAUCGUUAGGGAUGAGAUGUAUGUAUUUGAAGCGUAUAAAAUGAGUUUUGGAUGCUUGAAGAUGAAAUUUUAGUAUUAUACAUGUUAGAAUGGGAAAGAUUCUAUGAUACUCAUUUUCUGUGGGUGUAAAAAGAAGAUAACUUCAAUAAUUUGCUGUAUAUUAGAAUUAUAUGAUGAGAAGACAACAGUGGAAGAGAAAGGAACAUUUCUAGAUUGAAGAACAAGUAGUGUAUCGGUGUUGAAUGAUGUGAUGUUAAUGGUGAAUUUGAGUGUCUAUUUUCUUUUUCUUUUUCCUUUUCCGUCUGUAAAGUUGCUUUAUGUAGUUGGCCGCAAUUGUUCAAAGAUUUGUACUUUACUUGAUUCCCUAAAUAGAUAAAACUUUUAAUAUGAAAUAUGGAACUGUUUUCUUCCGAUCAUGGGUUGAUUUAUUUCUAUUUUCUCAUGGCAUUCCAAAAUUUAAAUUUUAAAUUUACAUUUCAAAUUUUCUUAGAUCUUGAAGUUAGAAAACCAAAGUGUCAUGUUGAAUAUUUCCUCUGAUGUUUGCCUGCCUCUAGUUUGUUGAAGUUGAAUUUUGGGAUGUGGCAACGUGUCCUUCUAGCAUUGAAUGCAAUUUCAUUUAGCAUAAUUUUGGGGAUGGUAUUGUAACUUAAAUGAAUUUAACUCAGCAAUCGAUCCUUAUUUGUUACUUAAUUGUUGGCACAUGCACGACAGAUGCAUUCCUUAUAGGCUGAUAGAGGACAGCGAGGAAGUUAACGACCAGUGUGACACUGAGAACAAGAUUGAAGUUCUCAUGGUUUCUUCACCAAAUCGUGAUGAUCUAGUGUUUCCAAAGGUUUAUAAUUCUAUCCAUUCUUGGUUUUAGGUGUUGGCGAGAAAUAUCACUAUCCUAUAUUUCAACGUUUCUCCUUGUUCUUCUUUGUAGGGUGGAUGGGAGGAUGACGAGACCCUCCUAGAAGCAGCGUGUCGCGAAGCUGUGGAAGAAGCAGGAGUGAGAGGCAAGCUUAACGUAGGUUUAUAUAGUGCUUACUUCCAGAAAUUGAUGGUUUUUUUGCAUGUUUUCUUCACAAAUAUUGAACUAUUUGCAUCAAGGUUUUUGGUUGUAUAACCUUUUAGUUGCUCGUUGAGUGGUUGUCGUAGGAUGGGUUUGGCAAGUCUGGGAAUAACAUAAGCUAUUAGGCAUCUCAGGAAAUUUAUACAGCCUGCCUGCAGAACGGCAGAGGGCUUGGGUUGGAUGUUGUUGGCAGUUAUUGAUUUCUUUUACAGGAAGACUCAGAUUGUGAAUGAAACUGAACAUCUGGCCGUCCUUUCCUACUUCUACGGGUAGAGUAGAGAUGGAAUGCUGGGGAUAACUAGUCCUGGAUAAUUUUUCUUUAUGUAGGUUGAAAUUGCAAAAUAGAAAGAUAUUUUGAGGUUUAGGAUGUAAAAUAACAAAUGUGUCAUUCCCUACAAGAUUAUCUGGCUCAGUUCACCAUCCACCACGCAUGUGGAGGUUUAAUUGAGUUUUGCUUGCAGCUUGAUUUAUUUGUAUACUGAUUGUUACAAAAGAAGAAAAAAAGUGAUAGCAUAUACUUUGUAGAACUACCAUUCAUUUGGAUUUACUCGUAGGAUACUCCAUGCUUUGUUGUAACUAGGUCUACCACUGCAAAGUCGGUAUUCUUCUUUCACUUGGAAAAUAAAAGUGUGUUGUUUCUAUAUGUUAGGAAAAUCCUCUUGGAGUUUGGGAGUUUAGAAGCAAAAGCAGUCAGGACAUUUGCAGCAUGGAGGGAGCAUGCAGAGGAUACAUGUUUGCAUUAGAAGUUACAGAAGAGCUUGAGUCAUGGCCAGAGCAGGGAAACCGCCAUAGGAGAUGGGUCAGUACAUACUUGAACUGUGAAACUAACUCCCUUAAAUUGUUAAUAUGAUGCCAUUUCAGCACUCUUUGGAAAAUCAUUUUCCAGAGACUGGAUUUUAACCCUGUCAAUAAUAAUAUGGGAAGAAAAAUGAUUUGCAUGUGUUUGCUUUGCAGCUCAAUGUUAAAGAGGCAUUCAGACUAUGCCGAUAUGAAUGGAUGCGCGUGGCACUUGAAGCCUUUCUUCGAGUAAUGGGGGGAGACGAAAAUGGUGAAGCUACGCAAGAGAUGACGGCAGAGACAAGUGCAGUAACAGUUACAAAUGUGGUUGAUUGUGGAUUGAUAUCAUCUAACUGCUGUGGAAGGCCUCCUCCGUUCAGUCAGCAGCACGGUGGUAGGAGUCAUUCAACAGGCAUAGGAGGCAUUUCAAGGGAUUGCAGAUUAGGCAUUACAUUAACUGAAUGAUGAAAAUCUGUGUAGCGGGUUCGUGUAAUCAGUCUCUGGUGGGGGGGAAGUCGUUCAACUUUGAGAAAGAACAAACAAAACUGUGUAAAGUGGAAGUGAAGGUGAGUAAAACUCAAAGUGCAGCAGAAUUAUGAGAAAAGAGAGAGAAGAGAGCCAGGAGGGGUAGGCUUUUUUUGGGGGGGUGGGCGGGGGGGAGGGAUUUUGUUGGAUGAUGGAUGAUGGAUGAUUGUUUGUAUGUAGAAGAAGAAGAAGAAGAAGAAGAAGAAGAAGAAAGAAGCAACUGUAGUUGGGGAUACAAAAUUAUGUGGCUGGCUUGUUGUUAGUGAUGUUAAUAAGAUAGUUGGAUUGUGAUGGAUGGGUUACUGACUGAUGUUGAUGAAUUUUGGGUGGUGGUGGUGGUGGUUGUAAUGCUUUAGCUGCUGUAAAUGAAGAAGAAGCCAAUCAGUGUACAGUUGGAUUUUAUUUUCUUCUUUAAACUGUUUGUGUUUGGUGCUUAGUGAAAAUGGUUUAGAGGAAAAUUAUCGGGAAUAGUGUACAGUUCCCAAUCUCAUAUCUCUGACCUCUCACCAAAGUACACACACCUUGUCUUUCUGCAUUUCAUUGCAAAUUCCCAUGUUCUUUGCUUCCUCCCUUCCAUUCAACAAUCAAGUUUCACUACAACUUUAAUUCUCCAACUCUCAAUCUCUAUCUACUUGGUCCCUUCCAUUCCAUAGCUUCUUAAAGUCGUUCAACUCUCAGUUUCACAUUCAUCAUUUUUUUCUAGGUUGUUUACUAUUUCUUCUCAAACUAAAAUAAUAUAUACCACAAACCUAUCAAACACAAACUAUUAUAACUUAACUAUAAUAACUUAGAACUAUAAUACCAAACACUCCUUAAGGUUCUACUAUUAGACAUAAAACUAAUUUAAUGUUCGUAGAUCAAUUAUAUGUAUUUUAUAACUAAAUUUUAAGGGAGUAAAUGUGUGGAAAUAAGCUCUUUUUAUUUAUAUUAUAUUAUACAAUACUAAUUUUUUUAAAAAAAUAUAAUAAACGGGCAAAAUAUUUAUAAUGAAUAUAAUCAUUUUAAAAACGAAAAAAACUCACACUCUCACAAUGAAAAAUACUAAAAAUGCCUUAGUCACGGUUAAUUGAUCAUUUGCACUCGCAGAUCAUUCGCACUCGCAGAUCAUUCGCACUCAUAAUAUAUUUUGUACGUUUAGAUUUGGCUAUCCAAAUUUAAACAGUCAAAUCUAAGCGAUCGUGGAUAUUUUUAUAUUUGAUACACGAUUUUGAACCAAAUAAUACUCUAAAAAAAUACAAAAUUUAUAAUUGAUUGAAAACAAAUAUCAUGAUUUUAAAAAGAUACAAAAAAUUGCCAAAAAAGUGAAGAGAGAAGAAAGACGAGGGAAAAAAAAAAUUGUAGAGGAAUAAGAGAAGAAAGAAGACGGAAAGAAAUGACAAACCUGAAAUAUUUUUAAAAAAGUGGCUAACUUCAUGUGUUUUAGAUAGAUGGUAAAUAUUUUGGUGUUCAUUUAUAAAAAUUAAUCUUUUUCUUUAUUAUUUCUUUUACUUUUGAUAUAUUCAAUAAUAUUAAUUUGAAAAAUUAUUUUAAACGAUAAAAUAAAUGAAAACACGGACAAAUAUAACAUAAUACUCUAAUAGAAAUAUAUCAUGGUAUAUCAUAAAUAAAUCAUAAUAUUUUGGUAUAUUUUGUAAAUAUUUAAAUUAAUUUUGAUAUCUUUUUAAAAUAACUAUUAAUUAACCAUUUUUAUUACU